rnacentral:rRNA from 1 species
GGGAACACAGGGAGGGGUAAAAACAAAAAAUAACACCUAAAUCUAUCUAAUAUAAUAUAAAUAAAUGAUAAUGUGGAGGUAAAUGGGUUGGAUGGGUGAAAUAGGAGGAGGAUGGCAAUGGAUUAGGAAUAGGAAGGAACAAAAACUGCUGGGAGAGAGGGAGUCUUCUGAAAUGUCUGCUGUUCAGAAACAGUGACUAGCUAGAAGGUGUUGGGAAGGGAGGGAGGCAAUCCGUUUUGUUUCUUGCUGCGCCCGCCUCACCGCAAGCUCCAUUGGCUCCAUGCAGCCUAGCCCGUGGCCAAUCGCAGACUGCGAAGCCAGUCUGAGGUGAAAAGGGAUGGUGAUUGGGCAGGCUGGCUGCUACUCCAAGUCUCUCCACCCCUGGUACCUAGAAGUCUGCUCCUCAACUGACUUCCCCUCCCUGUCAUGUUUUGCCUUCCAGUGACACAUUUUUGCCACCUGAACUCACCCGAACAUGAUCCGAACGACCGAACUGUUUGGUCAUUUUGACGUUCGGAUCUAGUUCGGUUUGGUCAGUUCAUGUUUGGACUCGGGUUCGGGUUCAGUCGUCCGAACAUGCCGAGUUCAGGUCAAACUCCGAACUUCCGAACCGCAUUUGCUCAUUCCUACCUGUCCCAGUCCCUGCCUCUUGGCACUUCCUUGAUGCUCUUAACUGAGUGUCCGGGGGGUCCGAAGCGUUUACUUUGAAAAAAUUGAAGUGUUCAAAGCAGGCCGGUUGCCAGAAUACUCCAGCUAGGAAUAAUGAAAUAGGACUCCGGUUCUAUUUUGUUGGUUUUCAGAACUGGGGCCAUGAUUAAGAGGGACGGCCGGGGGCAUUCGUAUUGUUCUGCUAGAGGUGAAAUUCUUGGACUGGCGCAAGAUGAACCAAAGCGAAAGCAUUUGCCAAGAAUGUUUUCAUUAAUCAAGAAUGAAAGUCGGAGGUUCGAAGAUGAUUAGAUACGGUCAUAGUUCUGACCAUAAACGAUGCUGACUAGCGAUCCAGCAGCGUUAUUCCCAUGACCUGCCAGGCAGCUUCCGGGAAACCAAAGUCUUUGGGUUCUGGGGGGAGUAUGGUUGCAAAGCUGAAACUUAAAGGAAUUGACGGAAGGGCACCACCAGGAGUGGAGCCUGCGGCUUAAUUUGACUCAACACAGGAAACCUCUCCCGGCCCGGACACAGAAAGGAUUGACAGAUUGAUAGUUCUUUCUCAAUUCUGUGGGUGGUGGUGCAUGGCCGUUCUUAGUUGGUGGAGCGAUUUGUUUCGUUAAUUCUGAGACUCUGGCAUGCUAACUAGUUAUGCGACCCCUGAGCAGUCGGCGUCCAACUUCUUAGAGGGACAAGUGGCGUUCAGCCACCCGAGAUUGAGCAAUAACAGGUCUGUGAUGCCCUUAGAUGUCCGGGGCUCCACACACACUACACUGACUGGCUCAGUGCCUACCCUACACCGACAGGUGUGGGUAACCCGGUGAACCCCAUUCGUGAUGGGGAUUGGGGAUUGCAAUUAUUCCCCAUGAAAGAGGAAUUCCCAGUAAGUGUGGGUCAUACGCUCGCAUUGAUUAAGUCCCUGCCCUUUGUACACACCGCCCGUCACUACUACCAAUUAGAUGGUUUAGUGAGGUCCUCAGACUGGCCCCGCCAGGGUCGGCCACGGCCCUGGCGGAGCGUCGAGAAGACGGUCAAACUUGACUAUCUAGAGGAAGUAAAAGUCGUAACAAGGUUUCCGUAGGUGAACCUGCGGAAG